UACGGAGGGUGCAAGCGUUAUCCGGAUUCACUGGGUUUAAAGGGUGCGUAGGAGGGCAGGUAAGUCAGUGGUGAAAUCUCCGGGCUUAACUCGGAAGCUGCCGUUGAUACUAUCUGUCUUGAAUACCGUGGAGGUGAGCGGAAUAUGUCAUGUAGCGGUGAAAUGCUUAGAUAUGACAUAGAACACCAAUUGCGAAGGCAGCUCACUACACGAAUAUUGACUCUGAGGCACGAAAGCGUGGGGAUCAAACAGG
rnacentral:rRNA from 1 species